rnacentral:misc_RNA from 1 species
AAGUUUCCUUUUUCUUCUUAUCUUGUAUAUUAUCAGCAAACAAGUAAGCUGAUAGCCGCUUCAAUUUACCAAAACAUUAAAGCUUACACUUGCGUUAAGCAAUUUAAACUUGCUAAACUUUUCCCACAAAAUACCCAGUUACCAAACGCGGGGUAACCAAAUUAAAUAAACCCAUCAAGUAAAAGGGAAAAUAAAACCCAAAACCAAGCAGAAAUAAAAAAAAAUUAGAUAAAUUCAAAACCUUACCCUUAAACUCUUAAUUUUCACAGCAAUUGAAUCG